rnacentral:rRNA from 1 species
AUUGAACGCUGGCGGCAUGCCUUACACAUGCAAGUCGAACGGUAACAGGUCUUCGGAUGCUGACGAGUGGCGAACGGGUGAGUAAUACAUCGGAACGUGCCUAGUAGUGGGGGAUAACUACUCGAAAGAGUGGCUAAUACCGCAUGAGAUCUACGGAUGAAAGCAGGGGAUCGCAAGACCUUGUGCUACUAGAGCGGCCGAUGGCAGAUUAGGUAGUUGGUGGGAUAAAAGCUUACCAAGCCGACGAUCUGUAGCUGGUCUGAGAGGACGAUCAGCCACACUGGGACUGAGACACGGCCCAGACUCCUACGGGAGGCAGCAGUGGGGAAUUUUGGACAAUGGGCGCAAGCCUGAUCCAGCAAUGCCGCGUGCAGGAUGAAGGCCUUCGGGUUGUAAACUGCUUUUGUACGGAACGAAAAGCCCUGGGUUAAUACCCUGGGGUCAUGACGGUACCGUAAGAAUAAGCACCGGCUAACUACGUGCCAGCCGCCGCCGUAA